UAGGGAAUAUUGGACAAUGGGUGCAAGCCUGAUCCAGCCAUGCCGCGUGCAGGAAGAAGGCCUUAUGGGUUGUAAACUGCUUUUGCCAGGGGAUAAAAUACGGAUGCGUCCGGAAUUGAAGGUACCUGGUGAAUAAGCCACGGCUAACUACGUGCCAGCAGCCGCGGUAAUACGUAGGUGGCAAGCGUUGUCCGGAUUUAUUGGGUUUAAAGGGUGCGUAGGCGGUUUUUUAAGUCAGUGGUGAAAUACUUCAGCUCAACUGGAGAGGUGCCAUUGAUACUGGGAAACUUGAGUACUGAUGAGGUAGGCGGAAUGGACGGUGUAGCGGUGAAAUGCUUAGAUAUCGUCCAGAACACCGAUAGCGAAGGCAGCUUACUAAGGAGUAACUGACGCUGAGGCACGAAAGUGUGGGGAUCAAACA
rnacentral:rRNA from 1 species